rnacentral:rRNA from 1 species
UACGAAGGGGGCUAGCGUUGCUCGGAAUCACUGGGCGUAAAGCGCACGUAGGCGGAUCUUUAAGUCAGAGGUGAAAUCCCAAGGCUCAACCUUGGAACUGCCUUUGAUACUGGGGAUCUCGAGUCCGGAAGAGGUGAGUGGAACUGCGAGUGUAGAGGUGAAAUGCGUAGAUAUGUGGAGGAAUACCGAUGGCGAAGGCAGCCUCCUGGGCCAACACUGACGCUCAUGCACGAAAGCGUGGGGAGCAAACAGG